CUACUGGUCAAAUUUAACAAACUGUGAGGGUGACUAGACACUUUCUAAUUCUUUUCUGGCAUCGGACUCAGAUGAGAAAACUGAAAUGCUGGGAGAGUUGAAGUUGCUUACUCAACAUUGUUAAUCCCUAGUGACUGGCAAAGCGGGAAUCCACAUGAUUGAGGAUUUCACCAAAAGCCACCAGAGAAUAUCUUGUUUCAGCAUUCAAGUUCUUCCACAAACCUGUCAUCAGUCAGAUAUCUCCAACCACCUCCCAACUGAGGAGAAGAUACCUCAAACCCCAAAGGGAGGCUGUGGACUCAAGUUGAAGAGAGACCAGCUCCCUUGCCCCUUCCUGCCUUCUUGUAUCUAUCUCUUUGUAAAUUCUUUAGGCCCCAGGGGCAGAAAACCCUGGGGUCAUGAAACCUCAUUUCCCAGGUGAGAGACCAUAUAAAAAGUAUUAGGGUAACCAAAUCCCAUUUUCCAUCAUCCAGUCUACCUGUACAUUCAUUCUUCAUUAAAUCUUAC
rnacentral:lncRNA from 1 species